GCUACGGGAGGCAGCAGUGGGGAAUAUUGCACAAUGGGGGAAACCCUGAUGCAGCGACGCCGCGUGAAGGAUGAAGUAUUUCGGUAUGUAAACUUCUAUCAGCAGGGAAGAAAAUGACGGUACCUUACUAAGAAGCCCCGGCUAACUACGUGCCAGCAGCCGGGGUAAUACGUAGGGGGCAAGCGUUAUCCGGAUUUAAUGGGUGUAAAGGGGGCGUAGAAGGUAUGGCAAGUCUGAUUUGAAAACCCGGGGCGCAACCCCGUGACUGCAUUGGAAACUGCCGAACUAGAGUGUCGGAGAGUCAAGUGGAAUUCCUAUUGUAGCGGUGAAAUGCGUAGAUAUUAGGAGGAACCCCAGUGGCGAAGGCGGCUUGCUGUACGAUGACUGACGUUGAGGCUCGAAAGCGUGGGGAGCAAACAGGAUUAGAUACCCCAGUAGUC
rnacentral:rRNA from 1 species